UCCCUGGUAGCUCAGUGGUAAAGAAUCUGCCUGCAAUGCAGGAGACCUGGGUUCGAUUCCUGGGUCGGGAA
rnacentral:tRNA from 1 species